rnacentral:tRNA from 2 species
GGCGGCAUAGCCAAGUGGUAAGGCAGGAGCCUGCAAAGCUUUCACCCCCAGUUCGAAUCUGGGUGCCGCCU